AUGGCUGUCGUCAGCUCGUGUCGUGAGAUGUUGGGUUAAGUCCCGCAACGAGCGUAACCCCUGUUGCUAGUUACCAGCGGAUAAUGCCGGGGACUCUAGCGAAACUGCCUGCGCAAGCAGUGAGGAAGGUGGGGAUGACGUCAAGUCAUCAUGGUCCUUACGCCUAGGGCUGCACACGUGCUACAAUGGCCGGUACAACGAGCAGCCACCUCGCGAGAGGGAGCGAAUCUCUGAAAACCGGUCCCAGUUCGGAUUGGAGUCUGCAACUCGACUCCAUGAAGCAGGAAUCGCUAGUAAUCGCGGAUCAGCAAUGCCGCGAUGAAUCCGUUCCCGGGCCUUGUACACACCGCCCGU
rnacentral:rRNA from 1 species